rnacentral:rRNA from 1 species
UGAGUGAUGAAGGCCUUAGGGUUGUAAAGCUCUUUUACCCGGGAUGAUAAUGACAGUACCGGGAGAAUAAGCUCCGGCUAACUCCGUGCCAGCAGCCGCGGUAAUACGGAGGGAGCUAGCGUUGUUCGGAAUUACUGGGCGUAAAGCGCGCGUAGGCGGUUUUUUAAGUCAGAGGUGAAAGCCCAGUGCUCAACACUGGAACUGCCUUUGAAACUGGAAAACUUGAAUCUUGGAGAGGUCAGUGGAAUUCCGAGUGUAGAGGUGAAAUUCGUAGAUAUUCGGAAGAACACCAGUGGCGAAGGCGACUGACUGGACAAGUAUUGACGCUGAGGUGCGAAAGCGUGGGGAGCAAACAGGAUU